rnacentral:rRNA from 1 species
AGGACGAACGCUGGCGGCGUGCUUAACACAUGCAAGUCGAGCGGAAAGGCCACUUCGGUGGUACUCGAGCGGCGAACGGGUGAGUAACACGUGAGUAAUCUGCCCCCCACUUCGGGAUAGCCACCGGAAACGGUGAUUAAUACCGGAUAUGACGCAUCUUCGCAUGUUGGUGUGUGGAAAGUUUUUCGGUGGGGGAUGUGCUCGCGGCCUAUCAGCUUGAUGGUGAGGUAAUGGCUCACCAGUGGCUUCGGACGGGUAGCCGGCCUGAGAGGGUGACCGGUCACA